AUGCGUACGCGUUGGGUUCCACCAUAUUAUCAACGUGAAUUGCUUCAAAAAUUGCAGCGUUUAAGACAAGGAAAAAAUUCUUUAGAAGAAUAUUAUCAGGAAUUACAAACUGGCAUGAUUAGAUGUGGUAUUGUUGAGGAGAAUGAAGCUAUGCUUGCACGUUUUCUGGAUGGAUUAAAUAGAGAGAUUCAGACCAUUCUAGACUAUAAGGAGUAUACUAAUAUCACUCGUUUAUUCCAUCUUGCUUGUAAAGCUGAACGUGAAGUGCAGGAUCGACAAGCAUUGGGGCGAACUAACUUUUCUGCAGGACGACCUUCAUCAUGGACACCACGUGCAUCUUCUACUUCAACUGCACCAGCACCUCCAUCCGGUGCCACCUCCAGCCGUGAUACAAGAAAACAGGCACAACCACCAUUAUCUGCCAAGAGCGCACCUGCGGGGCCUGCACAGCGUUCUUCUUCUUCCAUGGCAUCAACAGGGCACACAAGUGAUAUUAUUUGUCGUCGUUGUAAGGGAGGAGGUCAUUAUGCGAGAGAAUGCAAAUCUCCGCGUGUGAUGAUUGCUACCGCGGAUGGUGGAUAUGAGUCCGCUAGUGACUAUGAUGAGGAGACUUUGGCUCUUAUUACACGUGAAGAACAUGGUGGAGAUGAUUCUGAUCAUGAGACGCAAUACAUGGCUCCUGAAGACGCUGACAGGUAUGAAUGUUUAGUUGCUCAACGUGUUUUGAGUGUGCAGGUCACACAAGCUGAGCAAAAUCAGAGGCAAAAUUUGUUCCAUACCAAGGGAGUUGUGAAGGAACGUUCUGUGCGCGUCAUAAUAGACGGAGGGAGCUGCAACAACUUGGCUAGCAUGGAGAUGGUGGAGAAGCUUUCUCUCACCACAAGACCACAUCCACAUCCUUACUACAUCCAAUGGUUCAACAACAGCGGCAAGGUUAAGGUAACACGUACUGUUCGUGUGCAUUUUAGUAUCUCUACAUAUGCUGAUUAUGUUGAUUGUGAUGUGGUACCUAUGCAAGCAUGUUCCUUAUUACUUGGUAGACCAUGGCAAUUUGAUAAAAAUUCUGUACACCAUGGUAGAAACAAUCACUAUACUCUUGUUCAUAAGGAUAAAAAUAUUACUUUGCUUCCUAUGACUCCUGAUUCCAUUUUGCAAGAUGAUAUUAAUAGAGCUAAUAAAGCACAACACGAGAAGAAUAAGAGUGAAAAUCAGAUUGUGGCAAAAGAAUUUGAGCAACAAAUGAAGCCUAAUAAUAAACCAUCUAGUGUUGCUUCUGAAAUUAAAUUGAAAAGUGCAUGUUUAUUUGCCACCAAAUCUGAUAUUGAUGAGCUAGAUUUCAGCAAAUCUGUUUGCUAUGCUUUUGUGUGCAAAGAGGCAUUAUUUUCAUUCGAGGACGUGCCUUCCUCUUUGCCUCCUGCUGUCACUAACAUUUUGCAGGAGUUUGCUGACGUUUUUCCACAAGACGUGCCACCGGGAUUACCGCCUAUUCGAGGGAUUGAGCAUCAGAUUGACUUAAUUCCCGGUGCUUCACUGCCAAACCGUGCACCAUACCGUACCAAUCCAGAGGAGACGAAGGAGAUUAUGCGUCAAGUACAAGAGCUUCUCGACAAAGGUUAUAUACGCGAAUCCCUUAGUCCUUGUGCUGUUCCUAUUAUUCUAGUGCCGAAAAAGGAUGGUACAUCACGUAUGUGUGUUGAUUGUAGAGGCAUUAAUAAUAUUACUAUUCGUUAUUGUCGUCCUAUUCCUAGGCUAGAUGAUAUGCUUGAUGAAUUGAGUGGCUCUACAAUAUUCUCCAAAGUUGAUUUGCGUAGUGGCUACCAUCAAAUUCGUAUGAAAUUGGGAGAUGAAUGGAAAACAGCAUUUAAAACUAAGUUUGGAUUAUAUGAGUGGUUAGUCAUGCCUUUUGGGUUAACUAAUGCACCUAGUACUUUCAUGAGAUUAAUGAACGAAGUUUUACGUGCUUUCAUUGGACGAUUUGUGGUAGUUUACUUUGAUGACAUAUUGAUUUAUAGCAGAUCUUUGGAGGAACAUUUGGAACAUUUACGUGCUAUUUUUAUUGCUCUACGUGAUGCACGUUUGUUUGGUAACCUUGGGAAGUGCACCUUUUGCACCGACCGAGUAUCUUUUCUUGGCUAUGUUGUUACUCCACAGGGAAUUGAAGUUGAUAAAGCCAAGAUUGAAGCUAUUGAGAGUUGGCCGCAGCCCAAAACGGUCACACAAGUGAGGAGUUUUCUUGGCCUCGCUGGAUUCUAUAGGCGUUUUGUGAGAGAUUUCAGCACCAUUGCUGCACCUCUCAAUGAGCUUACAAAGAAAGAUGUGCCUUUUCUUUGGGGUACCGCACAGGAAGAAGCCUUCACGGUAUUGAAAGCUAGCUCCGUUCGUCUUUUGAUGUUGCAGGAGGCGCAUGGAGGAGGAUUAAUGAGACACUUUGGCAUGAAGAAGACGGAGGACGUACUUGCUACACAUUUCUUUUGGCCAAAGAUGAGACAGGAUGUUGAGCGUUUUAUUGCUCGAUGCACUACAUGUCAAAAAGCUAAGUCACGACUCAAUCCUCAUGGUUUAUAUAUGCCUUUGCCUGUACCUAGUGUUCCUUGGGAGGAUAUAUCUAUGGACUUUGUUUUAGGUUUACCUCGAACAAAGAAGGGGAGGGAUAGCAUAUUUGUUGUCGUGGAUAGAUUCUCGAAAAUGGCACACUUUAUACCAUGUCAUAAAAGCGAUGAUGCUGUUAAUGUUGCUGAUUUGUUCUUUCGUGAAAUUAUUCGCUUGCAUGGUGUGCCAAAUACUAUUGUUUCAGAUCGUGAUACUAAAUUUCUUAGCCACUUUUGGAGAUGUUUAUGGGCUAAGUUGGGGACUAAACUGCUUUUUAGUACUACUUUUCACCCCCAAACUGAUGGACAAACUGAAGUAGUCAAUAGAACGUUGUCUACUAUGCUUAGGGCUGUUUUGAAGAAUAAUAAGAAAAUGUGGGAGGAAUGCUUGCCUCAUAUUGAAUUUGCUUAUAAUCGUUCAUUGCAUUCUACUACUAAGAUGUGCCCUUUUGAAGUUGUGUAUGGUUUCCUACCUCGUGCACCUAUUGAUUUGUUGUCUCUUCCAUCUUCGGAGAAGGUUAAUUUUGAUGCUAAACAACGUGCUGAAUUGAUUUUAAAAAUGCAUGAGUUAACUAAGGAAAACAUUGAGCGCAUGAAUGCUAAAUAUAAACUUGCUGGAGAUAAGGGUAGAAAACAUGUUGUGUUUGCACCUGGAGAUCUUGUUUGGUUACAUUUGCGUAAGGAUAGAUUUCCUGAUUUGCGCAAAUCAAAGUUAAUGCCACGUGCUGAUGGUCCCUUUAAGGUGUUAGAGAAAAUAAAUGAUAAUGCAUAUAAACUUGAGCUGCCUGCAGAUUUUGGGGUUAGUCCCACUUUUAACAUUGCAGAUUUGAAGCCUUAUUUGGGUGACGAAGAUGAACUUCCGUCGAGGACGACUUCAUUUCAAGAAGGGGAGGAUGAUGAGGACAUCAAUACAAUUGUUACACCCAUAGCCCCUGCUGCUAUACAUACUGGACCAAUUACUAGAGCUCGUGCACGCCAACUAAAUUACCAGGUACUUUCGUUUCUUGGUAAUGAUUCUAAUGUUCAUGAGAAUAUGAUGCUGCCUAAAUUGGAUACAUUUGUUUUGCUUACAAAUGAAGGGCCUAGCUUGGAGAAGGAUGAACAUUGGAGCAAGAACAAGCAUGGAGAUGAUGGCAUGCGCAAGGGAAACAAGAACGGAGUUACAAGUGAUGAUUUCAGGACUUUGAAGCCACCAUAA
rnacentral:rRNA from 1 species